rnacentral:rRNA from 1 species
UACGGAGGGUGCAAGCGUUAUCCGGAUUCACUGGGUUUAAAGGGUGCGUAGGUGGGUUGGUAAGUCAGUGGUGAAAUCCCCGAGCUUAACUUGGGAACUGCCAUUGAUACUAUCUGUCUUGAAUAUUGUGGAGGUGAGCGGAAUAUGUCAUGUAGCGGUGAAAUGCUUAGAUAUGACAUAGAACACCCAUUGCGAAGGCAGCUCACUACGCAUAUAUUGACGCUGAUGCACGAAAGCGUGGGGAUCAAACAGG